CCGUCUUUUGCCAUGCUCGGUCACGCAGGCCCUCGGGCUCCAUGUGCUGAUCUUGAGCCGGAUGCUCGCGGCCUUUUGGCCUGCGAGUUAUGAGACAAGAGUGAAUUCACAGGCAACGCUUUUUGAGUACGGAACCUUCCAGUGUCUAUCUUAGCGUAUGAAGGCUUUCGUAAUUUAUCUGUUGCCACAUUU
rnacentral:snoRNA from 1 species